GUGGGGAAUAUUGGGCAAUGGGCGCAAGCCUGACCCAGCAACGCCGCGUGAAGGAAGAAGGCUUUCGGGUUGUAAACUUCUUUGAUCAGGGACGAAACAAAUGACGGUACCUGAAAAACAAGCCACGGCUAACUACGUGCCAGCAGCCGCGGUAAUACGUAGGUGGCGAGCGUUAUCCGGAUUUACUGGGUGUAAAGGGCGUGUAGGCGGUUUUGUAAGUCGGAUGUGAAAUUCCCAAGCUUAACUUGGGCGCUGCAACCGAAACUGCGAAACUUGAGUACUGGAGAGGAUAGUGGAAUUCCUAGUGUAGCGGUAAAAUGCGUAGAUAUUAGGAGGAACAUCAGUGGCGAAGGCGACUAUCUGGACAGUAACUGACGCUGAGGCGCGAAAGCGUGGGGAGCAAACAGGAUUAGAUACCCCAGUAGUCC
rnacentral:rRNA from 1 species